rnacentral:rRNA from 1 species
CUACGGGGCGCUCCAGUGGGGAAUAUUGGGCAAUGGGGGAAACCCUGACCCAGCAACGCCGCGUGAGGGGAGAAGGUCUUCGGAUUGUAAACCUCUUUUACCAGGGAAGAAGAAAGUGACGGUACCUGGAGAAAAAGCCACGGCUAACUACGUGCCAGCAGCCGCGGUGAUACGUAGGUGGCAAGCGUUGUCCGGAUUUACUGGGUGUAAAGGGCGUGUAAGCGGGAAGACAGGUCAGAUGUGAAAUGUCGGGGCUCAACCCCGGAACUGCAUUUGAAACCGUUUUUCUUGAGUAUCGGAGAGGCAGGCGGAAUUCCUAGUGUAGCGGUGAAAUGCGUAGAUAUUAGGAGGAACACCAGUGGCGAAGGCGGCCUGCUGGACGACAACUGACGCUGAGGCGCGAAAGCGUGGGGAGCAAACAGGAUUAGAUACCCGUGUAGUC